rnacentral:lncRNA from 1 species
CUGAGCUAACGUCCAUGCCAAUCUUCCUUCAUUCUUUUAGUAAGUGGGCCACCAGCAGAGCAUGGCAGCAAACCGAGUGGUGUAGAUCUGCGCCUAGAAACCAAACCCAGGCCGCCGAAGUGGAGUGCGCUGAACUUAACUACUAGGCCACGAGGGCUGUCCCUGUGGCAGUUUGAACAAAUGUCUGACCUCCAGAAUGUAGAGCUUUACUCCCCUUCCCUUGAGUGUGGGCUAGAUUUAAUGACUGUCUUCUAAGGAACAGACUAUGCAAAGAGAAAACCAGUCACUUAAGAGAACAAAAGCCUGGCAGACGCCAACCUAAUCAAGUGAUGGAUGUUGACAUCACAGUAAUCUGUUGUGCUGAUAGCGUUUACUCUGCUGAUAUGAUGCCAGGAGAUGGGCACACCACUUCUGAGGCAUUCUCAUCCCAAAUCUACAACCUCAGUUUAAUGUCUAGGAGGAAACCUUAAACAAACCCAAGUGGAGGGAUAUUCUACAAAAUAUCUGAAUGCACUGUUCAAGGGUGUCAAGGUCAUGGAAGACACAGAAAGACAGAGGAAUGUCAUGGGUUGGAGCAUUCUAAAGAGACACAAUGACUAAUGCAAAGUGGUGUCCUGGAUGGGAUCCUGGAACAGAAAAGGCAUAUUAGUGGAAAAACGAGGGGAAUCUGAAAAAGUCUACGGUUUAGUGAAGAUUACUGUUUUGAUGUUAAUUUCUUCGUUUUGAGAUGUGAAUAUGAUCAAAAUAUUCGGAGGCUGCUGGAACAGACUGCUGCCAUGAUUGUGUGCAGGCUGCCCCAGUCUGUGGGCUGCUCUCCUAUAAUACAACUCUGAGUAUAGAGAAAAU